rnacentral:rRNA from 1 species
GAGCGUGCGGCAGCUACCAUGCAGUCAGGGGCUCGUUGUAGCAAUACGGCGAGCCACUGGCGCACGGGUGAGUAACGCGUAGGUUAUCUACCCCCAACUCAGGCAUAACACCUCCAACGAGGUGCUAAUACCUGAUGAGGAGGCAGCUCCAAAGACCUUCGGGUCGGUUGGGGAUGAGCCUGCGUCCGAUUAGGUAGUUGGUAGGGUAACGGCCUACCAAGCCGACGAUCGGUAGCUGGCCUGAGAGGGUGGUCAGCCACACUGGGACUGAGACACGGCCCAGACUCCUACGGGAGGCAGCAGUGAGGAAUAUUGGGCAAUGGGCGCAAGCCUGACCCAGCGACGCCGCGUGUGGGAUGACAGGGCUAUGCCUUGUAAACCACUGUCGGGUGGGACGAAAAGCGAGCUACGGCUCGCCGGGACGGUACCACCAGAGGAAGGGUCGGCUAACUACGUGCCAGCAGCCGCGGUAAUACGUAGGACCCAAGCGUUAUCCGGAUUCACUGGGUGUAAAGGGUGUGUAGGCGGGCGUGCGCGUCUGGGGUGAAAGGUUCCGGCUCAACCGGAAACAUGCCUUGGAUACGGCACGUCUUGGGUGCGGGAGAGGACGGUGGAAUUCCUGGUGUAGCGGUGAAAUGCGUAGAUAUCAGGAGGAACACCAGUGGCGAAGGCGGCCGUCUGGCCCGCAACCGACGCUGAAACACGAAAGCGUGGGGAUCAAACAGGAUUAGAUACCCUGGAAGUCCACGCC